rnacentral:lncRNA from 1 species
CGGUGUCACUGGUGUGCAAGGUGCUGGGCUGCGGGAAUGAGGGGGAACUGGAAACAAUUUCAAAUUAUGAGAAGCUGUCUGGCACCGCAUGGCUGGAUCGCGUGGAGUGUGGGAAGAGCAACAGCUCCUUCUGGCAGUGUCCUUCUGCUUCCUGGGAUCCGCAGUCGUGUACUGACCGCCGAGAAGAGGCCAAUAUCACCUGCAAUGAAAGGCCGCAGGUGGCUGCAUGCCCCAACUCCACCAGCUGCACAGGUAGGGAGCUGCCCCUGCGCGUGCCCCCCUUACCUGGCAGGGCUCCCCCAGCUGUCCUGGUGCCAUGGGACAUCGCUGCCUCCCCAGACAGGGAGAAGAUCCGCGCUGUGGGAGGCAAGGACGGCUGCUCGGGCAGAGUGGAGAUCUGGCACCGCGGAACCUGGGGGACACUGUGUGACAAUGUCUGGGACAUGCGGGAUGCCGAGGUGGCAUGCAGGCAGCUGGGCUGUGGCCCCGCGGUCUAUGCCCUGGGCCAGGCUGCUGCUGGAGAGGGGACGGGCCCCAUGUGGCUGA